rnacentral:sRNA from 1 species
UGGACUACAGGUGGCCCAUGCGCUAUGACCAGUGGUGGGAGUGUAAAUUUAUUGCAGAAGGCAUCAUUGACCAAGGGGGUGGUUUCCGGGACAGCCUGGCAGAUAUGUCAGAAGAGCUGUGCCCUAGCUCAGCGGAUACCCCCGUGCCCCUGCCUUUCUUUGUACGCACAGCCAACCAGGGCAAUGGCACUGGUGAGGCUCGGGACAUGUAUGUACCCAACCCCUCCUGCCGAGACUUUGCCAAGUAUGAAUGGAUCGGACAGCUGAUGGGGGCUGCCCUUCGGGGUAAGGAGUUCCUGGUGAGUAGCCUUAUCCACACCCCCGUCCGAUCAGCCCUGGCCCCUGGAAGGAAAGGCCAGCCAAACCUGGGCAGCUCAGGGUGAGAAGACACUGGGGAGUGUUUGUCACACAGGUCCUGGCCCUGCCUGGUUUUGUGUGGAAGCAGCUUUCUGGUGAGGAGGUGAGCUGGAGCAAGGACUUCCCAGCUGUGGACUCUGUGCUGGUGAAGCUCCUGGAAGUGAUGGAAGGAAUGGACAAGGAGACGUUUGAGUUCAAGUUUGGGAAGGAACUAACAUUCACCACUGUACUGAGUGACCAACAGGUGGUGGAGCUGAUCCCUGGGGGUGCAGGCAUCGUCGUGGGAUAUGGGGACCGUUCUCGUUUCAUCCAACUGGUCCAGAAGACACGGCUAGAGGAGAGCAAGGAGCAGGUGGCAGCUAUGCAGGCAGGUCUGCUGAAGGUGGUACCACAGGCUGUGCUGGACUUGCUGACCUGGCAAGAGUUGGAGAAGAAAGUGUGUGGGGAUCCAGAGGUCACUGUGGAUGCUCUGCGCAAGCUCACCCGGUUUGAGGACUUCGAGCCAUCUGACUCGCGGGUGCAGUAUUUCUGGGAGGCACUGAACAGCUUCACCAACG